CCUACGGGAGGCUGCAGUGGGGGAUAUUGCACAAUGGGGGGAACCCUGAUGCAGCGACGCCGCGUGGGUGAAGAAGCGCCUCGGCGCGUAAAGCCCUGUCAGCAGGGAAGAAAAUGACGGUAGCUGAAGAAGAAGCCCCGGCUAACUACGUGCCAGCAGCCGAGGUAAUACGUAGGGGGCAAGCUUUAUCCGGAUUUACUGGGUGUAAGGGGGGCGCAGGCGGCGAUGCAAGCCAGGAGUGAAAGCCCGGGGCCAAACCCCGGGACUGCUCUUGGAACUGCGUGGCUGGAGUGCAGGAGGGGCAGGCGGAAUUCCUGGUGUAGCGGUGAAAUGCGUAGAUAUCAGGAGGAACACCGGUGGCGAAGGCGGCCUGCUGGACUGCAACUGACGUUGAGGCCCGAAAGCGUGGGGAGCAAACAGGAUUAGAUACCCCUGUAGUC
rnacentral:rRNA from 1 species